UCCUACGGGGGGCUGCAGUGGGGAAUCUUGCACAAUGGGGGAAACCCUGAUGCAGCGACGCCGCGUGAGCGAUGAAGCCCUUCGGGGUGUAAAGCUCUUUCGACGGGAACGAUAAUGACGGUACCCGGAGAAGAAGCUGCGGCUAACUACGUGCCAGCAGCCGCGGUAAUACGUAGGCAGCAAGCGUUGUUCGGAGUUACUGGGCGUAAAGAGUGCGUAGGCGGUUUCGUAAGUUUGGUGUGAAAUCUCCCGGCUUAACUGGGAGGGUGCGCCGAAAACUGCGGGGCUGGAGUGUGGGAGAGGUAAGCGGAAUUCCUGGUGUAGCGGUGAAAUGCGUAGAUAUCAGGAGGAACACCGGCGGUGUAGACGGCUUACUGGACCAUGACUGACGCUGAGGCACGAAAGCGUGGGGAGCAAACAGGAUUAGAUACCCCAGUAGUC
rnacentral:rRNA from 1 species